rnacentral:tRNA from 1 species
GCGGAUAUGGCGGAAUUGGCAGACGCGCACGGUUCAGGUCCGUGUGAGAGAUUCUCAUGCAGGUUCAACUCCUGUUAUCCGCA